rnacentral:rRNA from 1 species
GACGAACGCUGGCGGCGUGCUUAACACAUGCAAGUCGAACGAUGAAGCCGGAGCUUGCUCCGGUGGAUUAGUGGCGAACGGGUGAGUAACACGUGAGCAAUCUGCCCUUGACUCUGGGAUAACUGCGGGAAACUGUAGCUAAUACCGGAUACGACACCUUGGGGCAUCCCAGGGUGUGGAAAGAAUUUCGGUCAAGGAUGAGCUCGCGGGCCUAUCAGCUAGUUGGUGAGGUAAUGGCUCACCAAGGCGACGACGGGUAGCCGGCCCGAGAGGGUGCCCGGCCACCCUGGAACUGAGACACGGCACAGACUCCUACGGGAGGCAGCAGUGGGGAAUAUGGCACAAUGGGCGAAAGCCUGAUGCAGCAACGCCGCGUGAGGGAUGAAGGCCUUCGGGUUGUAAACCUCUUUUAGCAGGGAAGAAGCGAAAGUGACGGUACCUGCAGAAAAAGCACCGGCUAACUACGUGCCAGCCGCCGCGGUAA